rnacentral:rRNA from 1 species
CGUACCCUUUGCUACGGAAUAGUCUCGGGAAACUGGGGGUAAUACCGUAUGUGCCCUACGGGGGAAAGAUUUAUCGGCAAAGGAUCGGCCCGCGUUGGAUUAGGUAGUUGGUGGGGUAAUGGCCUACCAAGCCGACGAUCCAUAGCUGGUUUGAGAGGAUGACCAGCCACACUGGGACUGAGACACGGCCCAGACUCCUACGGGAGGCAGCAGUGGGGAAUCUUAGACAAUGGGGGAAACCCCGAUCUAGCCAUGCCGCGUGAGUGAUGAAGGCCUUAGGGUUGUAAAGCUCUUUCGCUGGGGAAGAUAAUGACGGUACCCAGUAAAGAAGCCCCGGCUAACUCCGUGCCAGCAGCCGCGGUAAUACGGAGGGGGCUAGCGUUAUUCGGAAUUACUGGGCGUAAAGCGCACGUAGGCGGACCAGAAAGUUAGGGGUGAAAUCCCGGGGCUCAACCUCGGAACUGCCUCUAAAACUCCUGGUCUUGAGUUCGAGAGAGGUGAGUGGAAUUCCGAGUGUAGAGGUGAAAUUCGUAGAUAUUCGGAGGAACACCAGUGGCGAAGGCGGCUCACUG